rnacentral:rRNA from 1 species
GACGAACGCUGGCGGCGUGCUUAACACAUGCAAGUCGAACGGAAAGGCCCUGCUUUUGUGGGGUGCUCGAGUGGCGAACGGGUGAGUAACACGUGAGUAACCUGCCCUUGACUUUGGGAUAACUUCAGGAAACUGGGGCUAAUACCGGAUAGGAGCUCCUGCUGCAUGGUGGGGGUUGGAAAGUUUCGGCGGUUGGGGAUGGACUCGCGGCUUAUCAGCUUGUUGGUGGGGUAGUGGCUUACCAAGGCUUUGACGGGUAGCCGGCCUGAGAGGGUGACCGGCCACAAUGGGACUGAGAUACGGCCCAGAAUCCUACGGGAGGCAGAAGUGGGGAAAAAUGCAACAUGGGCGGAAGCCUGAUGCAGCAACGCCGCGUGCGGGAUGACGGCCUUCGGGUUGUAAACCGCUUUCGCCUGUGACGAAGCGUGAGUGACGGUAAUGGGUAAAGAAGCACCGGCUAACUACGUG